ACACGACUACAUUAGAUACCCGGGUAGUCCUAGCCGUAAACGAUACUCGCUAGGUGUCGGCCACGGUGCGACCGUUGUCGGUGCCGUAGGGAAGCCGUGAAGCGAGCCACCUGGGAAGUACGGCCGCAAGGCUGAAACUUAAAGGAAUUGACGGGGGAGCACCACAACGGGUGGAGCUUGCGGUUUAAUUGGAUUCAACGCCGGAAAUCUUACCGGGACCGACAGCAACAUGAAGGCCAGGCUGAAGACUUUGCCGGAUUAGCUG
rnacentral:rRNA from 1 species